rnacentral:rRNA from 1 species
CGGGUGCUAACGUCCGUCGUGAAGAGGGAAACAACCCAGACCGCCAGCUAAGGUCCCAAAGUCAUGGUUAAGUGGGAAACGAUGUGGGAAGGCCCAGACAGCCAGGAUGUUGGCUUAGAAGCAGCCAUCAUUUAAAGAAAGCGUAAUAGCUCACUGGUCGAGUCGGCCUGCGCGGAAGAUGUAACGGGGCUAAACCAUGCACCGAAGCUGCGGCAGCGAACGUAUCACCCAAGACAACUUUACGGAGUUGACGAUUGACGGAGCGAAGCGACGUCAAAGCGUUCAUUAAAGUCGAGUUGGCUUAGGGAUACGUUCGUUGGGUAGGGGAGCGUUCUGUAAGCCUGUGAAGGUGUGUCGUGAGGCAUGCUGGAGGUAUCAGAAGUGCGAAUGCUGACAUAAGUAACGAUAAAGCGGGUGAAAAGCCCGCUCGCCGGAAGACCAAGGGUUCCUGUCCAACGUUAAUCGGGGCAGGGUGAGUCGACCCCUAAGGCGAGGCCGAAAGGCGUAGUCGAUGGGAAACGGGUUAAUAUUCCCGUACUUGGUGUUACUGCGAAGGGGGGACGGAGAAGGCUAUGUUGGCCGGGCGACGGUUGUCCCGGUUUAAGCGUGUAGGUGUGUGUUCCAGGUAAAUCCGGUUCACUUUAACACUGAGGCGUGACGACGAGGCACUACGGUGCUGAAGCAACAAAUGCCCUGCUUCCAGGAAAAGCCUCUAAGCAUCAGGUAACACGAAAUCGUACCCCAAACCGACACAGGUGGUCAGGUAGAGAAUACCAAGGCGCUUGAGAGAACUCGGGUGAAGGAACUAGGCAAAAUGGUGCCGUAACUUCGGGAGAAGGCACGCUGACACGUAGGUGAAGUGAUUUACUCAUGGAGCUGAAGUCAGUCGAAGAUACCAGCUGGCUGCAACUGUUUAUUAAAAACACAGCACUGUGCAAACACGAAAGUGGACGUAUACGGUGUGACGCCUGCCCGGUGCCGGAAGGUUAAUUGAUGGGGUCAGCGUAAGCGAAGCUCCUGAUCGAAGCCCCGGUAAACGGCGGCCGUAACUAUAACGGUCCUAAGGUAGCGAAAUUCCUUGUCGGGUAAGUUCCGACCUGCACGAAUGGCGUAAUGAUGGCCAGGCUGUCUCCACCCGAGACUCAGUGAAAUUGAACUCGCUGUGAAGAUGCAGUGUACCCGCGGCAAGACGGAAAGACCCCGUGAACCUUUACUAUAGCUUGACACUGAACAUUGAGCCUUGAUGUGUAGGAUAGGUGGGAGGCUUUGAAGUGUGGACGCCAGUCUGCAUGGAGCCGACCUUGAAAUACCACCCUUUAAUGUUUGAUGUUCUAACGUGGACCCGUAAUCCGGGUUGCGGACAGUGUCUGGUGGGUAGUUUGACUGGGGCGGUCUCCUCCUAAAGAGUAACGGAGGAGCACGAAGGUUGGCUAAUCCUGGUCGGACAUCAGGAGGUUAGUGCAAUGGCAUAAGCCAGCUUGACUGCGAGCGUGACGGCGCGAGCAGGUGCGAAAGCAGGUCAUAGUGAUCCGGUGGUUCUGAAUGGAAGGGCCAUCGCUCAACGGAUAAAAGGUACUCCGGGGAUAACAGGCUGAUACCGCCCAAGAGUUCAUAUCGACGGCGGUGUUUGGCACCUCGAUGUCGGCUCAUCACAUCCUGGGGCUGAAGUAGGUCCCAAGGGUAUGGCUGUUCGCCAUUUAAAGUGGUACGCGAGCUGGGUUUAGAACGUCGUGAGACAGUUCGGUCCCUAUCUGCCGUGGGCGCUGGAGAACUGAGGGGGGCUGCUCCUAGUACGAGAGGACCGGAGUGGACGCAUCACUGGUGUUCGGGUUGUCAUGCCAAUGGCACUGCCCGGUAGCUAAAUGCGGAAGAGAUAAGUGCUGAAAGCAUCUAAGCACGAAACUUGCCCCGAGAUGAGUUCUCCCUGAGACUUAGAGUCUCCUGAAGGAACGUUGAAGACGACGACGUUGAUAGGCCGGGUGUGUAAGCGCAGCGAUGCGUUGAGCUAACCGGUACUAAUGAACCGUGAGGCUUAACCUUACA